CCUCCUCCAGCUUUGUGCUGAUGAACAUGGUCACCUUGAAAGGUGUGUUGAAUAUGGCAGAGCCAGAAAAUGCAAGGAGCUUCUUCUCUGGAUCACCACUUGAAGAAGAGCCACUUGCUCCUCAGGAACCCUAUUUUGGACUGACGUUGCAAGAAAGCUCAAGUAGCCUAUGGAGAGGAUGCAAGGCUUCCAGCUGAUGCCCUCAGCCAGGCUCAGUAGCAGCCAGAACUAGCCUACCAACGAACCUGCUGAUCAUGUGCAUAAGCCACCUUGAACGUCGAUCCUCCUGCCUGGUGGAGCCAUCCCAGCUGAUGCCACAUGAAGCAGACACAAGCUGUCCCUACUAAGCUCUGCUCAAGUUGGAUAUUCAUGAGUGAAAUAAAUGACUGUUACUAAGUA
rnacentral:lncRNA from 1 species